CGGCUACUGAGCUGAGGCUAUGGGUUAUGCUGGUUUUUCAGUGCCCCUCCUUCACAGAAAGCCUGAGAAGGAAGGGUUUCACUUUCGAAAGAUGAGAUGGCUAAGCACAAAGGCCCCGUUUGGUCAUUUGCUACCAGUCUGUCCUGGUGGUGCCUGGUGCUGCAAUAACUUGACUUGAGGGGGCAUCUGGGGUGUGGGGGGCCUCUGGGAAGAAGACUCAGAGCCCGGAGGCCCAACAGUGGUUGAUAAGAAACCAUCCAUGACGUGGUUUCAGAGUCCACUGGUUUGGAGCAGAAAGGAGAACUAUAGCAUCAGCUGGGAGCUACAAAUGCCCAUAGGGGUCCCAAUUGCUGCUGGAAUCCUGGCCCUCCUUGCUUUCCUGGCUCUGGCCUAUCAUUGUCUCAAAGAGGCCUGGAAAUCCAGAUGGAGGCUUUGCUGUGGAGACUGCCCUCAAACUGGAGAGAACCUACAACUUGUCUUCAUUCACAGGCUGGAAGAGGGCCAGCUGGGAAUCCUCUCUUCAGAGCCCCAUGGCCCUCAGCUGCCUUCCCCAGUGUCCCCCUGAAGGCCCUAAUGGCACCAGGACUGCUCCUCAGUUUUGGGUAUGAAGAGGAGCCCUCCCCAAUGCUUCAGAGCGGCUGUGGUAUCCACCAAGCACUAUCAACAUGGAUGGAGAGGCUCCAAUGCUGCCUGGGCUGUCCCUGGAGCUCUGCUGGAGACCUUGCAAGACCACAAACUCCAUGCUUCCUGGGGUCUACCAGACAGAGGUGGCGCCCUGCUGGAAGGCCAGUGAUUCAUCUGUUCUGUGUAGUGGGGGCCUGUUAUUUCCCCACCCACCAGCUGGCCACAAAACCAUUUUCAGACUUUGCUAGAGCAGAACAGGCCCUGGGGAGAAGACAGGAGAAAGAAGAGGCCCUGGGAGAGAGGGUCUUUAUACUGCUCAGCCAUGAGUCACUGGCGACUUCCAGCCAUGCCACCCCUGGCCCACCACCCUCACUUUUUCUGUGGGCCAGAACUAGUGUCUCUCAGCAAUAGCAAUCAAUCACAUGGUAAAAUUAGUGCCUCAAGCACAGAGCCUGGAAAGGGACUGGAAUGUUGUAGGGCAAAGAGGAGAAGCCACUCUCCCUCCACAUACCUGGGCCUUCCCAGUUGGUUAGGUUAGGGAAGUUCUCUCGCUGCCGCAGGGCUUCCAGGCUACCCAUGUCAGGUGGGUGGCAGUGCCUGCGCAUCACCAUCACCCGCUGGCCCUGUGUGAUGGCACGGCUACGACAGCCCAUACGUGCCUGGUCUCGGCAAGUCCAGUACACUUUAUUGCCAGUUGCUUUCUCCCGCCUAUAGAGGAAGGACUCAUACACCAGGAAGCUGCCCCCGAGAGGGGUCUUCAGGAACUCUGGCCCCUCUGUAAAGAAAACAGGGAUGCAAUCAGGGAAGGGAGCAUGGAAGCUGAACCUGACAUUAGGAGGGGAGCAUUGGGGAAUGUUCCUAUUUUCAUAGCCAAGAACACCAUAUGUGUUGGAGAAACCCUACCAUCCACUUCAUGCCUUCCCCCCUGCUCACAAUGAGAUAGCUCUGUAUCCUCAAACCCCACUGUACCCUCAGGGUCCAGGGUCUACCUGUCCCAAGGCUGGAGACUGGCCAGGCCAAUCCCUGCAGGAAAAGGCUUCCAUCAUGAUAGUGUAGGAAGGGGGCAGGGUAUUUGUUUGCUCGCUUAUACUAGGUGCCCUCCAGGCCAGAAAGCAGGUACUCCAUAGUCUGAAGAGUGAGUUGGGGUCAGCGCACUCAGAGCUGAAGAGAGGAGUUUUAGUCACGAGCCCAAGGGCUGUAUAUGUGUGGUUGCUAGGCUUAAGCUUGAGCUGUGGAGGUAAGAGGAACCUGAAAGACAGCCUAAUCUUGCUCAGAAGAUCCUCUUACCACUCCCCUACUACUUGUCAUCAUUUUGACCAGGCACAAGGGCUGCUGUGGUUGGUUUCAACAGGAAUGGCUCCCAUAGCCUCACAGAUUUGAAUGUUUGGUCACCAGGGAGUGGCACUAUUAAAAAGGAUUGGGAGGUGUGGCCUUGUUGGAGGGGUUAUAUCACUGGGGUGGGCUUUUUUUGAGGUUUCAGAAGCCCAAGCCAGACCUAGUGGCUCUCUCUCUUCCUGCUGCCUACAGAAGUAGACGGAGAACUCUCAACUACUUCUCCAGUACCAUGUCUACUGUAUUGCCAUGCCCCCCACCUCGAUGAUAAUGAACUAAAUCUCUGAAACUGUAAGCAAAUCCCAAUUAAACAUGUUCUUUUAUAAGA